rnacentral:lncRNA from 1 species
UUGAACUCCUUCGGAUUAAAAGAUGAAGCUUUACAAGAAGGUGGUGGUAUGAAAGAUUGAACAAGACUCACUCUUAUAUUUUUCUUCUCAUAAAAUCUAGAGUAGAAACCCUAGAUCCUACACCUUGUGCCCGAGAGGAAGAACACUGCCUCUAUUUCUCACACACGGAAGUCCAACCCGCUCUUAACUUUUCACACCCCAACUCUUAAGUUUCUCACACCA